rnacentral:misc_RNA from 1 species
UGAAGGAGGACACCACACGUCAGGACAUCUUGCACAUCAUCAUGGGUCAACAGUCGUCCAAGGGUGUGAGAGCCCACAUGGAAAUGGCCACAAAGACUGGCGCACUGGUCUUGUCCGACAGAAAACUGACUGAGCUUCCAGACCUGUCUGCCUUAAACAAGGUGCUCCGGACCCUUGAUCUUUCCACCAACAGGCUGAGAGAACUCCCUUCUUCUGUGUGUGACCUCUCCAGCCUCAAGCACCUGAAUUUGAAUGCAAAUAGACUUGAAACCCUUCCAGAUGAAAUAGGAAGACUCACCAAACUAGAGUCAAUAUCUGUUGUGUCUAACCUGCUCAUCUCUCUUCCUGUAUCUAUGUCACAACUCAAGCACCUCAAGUCUGUCAUAUUAAGUGACAAUAAGAUAACAGAGUUCCCCAUCAUGCUGUGUGGUCUGGCACAGCUGGAUGUAGUUGAUUUGAGUGGCAACCAGAUCACCUGUGUCCCUGAUGGAAUAGAGAACUUGCAGGCUGUUGAAGUGAAUCUUAACAUGAACCAGAUUUCUGCAAUAUCAUCUUCCUUGGCUGCCUGUCCUCGUCUCAAGACACUUCGUCUUGAGGAAAACUGUCUUUCCAUUACCAGUAUUCCUGAGGAGCUGCUACUGGAAUCCCAGGUCUCCCUCCUUUGUGUCGAUGGAAACUUGUUUAAGAUGAAGGAGUUUGAGGAAGUUCCUGGAUAUGCUAAGUACAUGGAGAGAUAUACAGCUGUCAAGAAAAAAAUGUUUUAAACUUACUGGAAACCAGCCAUUCAUGAUUUAGAAGCUUCAGAAAGAAGGCUCAAGCUAUUUAUUAAUGAGAAAUGCAUCAACCUAGACCAGUCACCAUGCAUGGCUUUUCAUGGGAAUGUAUCUGCUAAAGGAGACAUCCUAUCUAAAAGCCCACCCUUAAGGGAACCGUUAUCCCGAGUAAGGAAGCCCAUCUUACACUUGGACCAUGGCCAGGAUUCGAACCCAAGCACUUUGAAACAAACCCGUUGGACCCCAAAUCACUCAUGGUUCCACUGUAUCACAACGGCCUGUACAGAUUGUUUGUACCCAGUCUUUUCCUUUCACUAACAAGUGCCGCCUGUUAAUCCUUUCUUUUACCAUUAUUACCAAGUUAUUUUCCUAAUGACUUCCUCUAACAUCCCAUUAAUUAUUUUUCAAUUUGUUGCUUUCUUUUAAGUAAUUACUGUACCAUAGUAUGUAAAAAUAUUUGUAUUUUCUACUACUUUUCAAUACACAUACCCUAUGAUGCUGUUCCUCUGUGUAGUUUAGCGUAUUAUCAUCAUUAUUACUGUUAAUAUGAUUAUUAUUAUUAUGAUUAUUAUUAUUAUUAUGAUUAUUAUUAAUUAUUAUUAUUAUUAUUAUCAUUGUUAUUGUUAUUAUUACUAUCAUUAGUGUUAUAAUAUGUUCUAUUCAUUAUUGUGAUACCAGGAAGGUGUAAAAAUACUUAAUUAUUUACUUUAUUUAAAAUUUUUAUCAAGGUUUAAAUCACAAGUCAUGCAA